rnacentral:rRNA from 1 species
CAGUCGCCACGGGAAUACGUAGGUGGCAAGCGUUGUCCGGAAUUAUUGGGCGUAAAGGGCUCGCAGGCGGUUUCUUAAGUCUGAUGUGAAAGCCCCCGGCUCAACCGGGGAGGGUCAUUGGAAACUGGGAAACUUGAGUGCAGAAGAGGAGAGUGGAAUUCCGCGUGUAGCGGUGAAAUACGUAGAGAUGUGGAGGAACACCAGUGGCGAAGGCGACUCUCUGGUCUGUAACUGACGCUGAGGAGCGAAAGCGUGGGGAGCGAACAGGAUUAGAUACCCCCGUAGUCCCUGUCUCUUAUAC